CAAAAUUCAUGUGUAGCAUUUCUACUUUAUUACAAGAAGCUCAGUGAACAUGACUUUUACCAGAUUCAGCUUUUUAGGAGAGUUGAAAGUGAACUCCUUAAAUAUAAAAAGGCUAAAACUUCUAAGGUUAUAUAGAUAAACAUAGCUUCUUUUCCAACCUUCUAAUGUUAUAGACAAAUGACAGCUUCUCUUCAGAGAAUGUACAUGUUGCAAUGACCGAAAUAUGCACGAGCAAUAUACCAUUAUAUACCAAUUUUUACACAUGUAUGAUCUGGUUGAACUGUUGUUGUGUCUGCAAAAGCAUCAUCUCUUCCACAGAGAACUUCUUAUAGAGCAGCCGUUGAUGACUCGUGAACUCUAGAAAUAAAUCUUUUAACUUCUUUGCUCUUUCAUAAGCUUCUGAUCCUGAAUGGACCACCAUCAGAUCUUUGUCCAUUACUAGACACAUAUCCUGAGGUUCGUAGCUUCCUGACCACAUCUUAAUCAUGCCGUGCCUUAAAUUUCUUUCAGUUAUAACCAAUGGUUAUGACGAAGUAUUGAAGUCGGAUGCAUCAAAGAGCCAAAUUGAUAAAGAAACUGUGCAUCCAUCUGCACAACUUCCUAAAAAGAACCAUUCAGAAAGAAGAGAGGUUCAGGGACCUGUUGUUGCUAGACCUGAAGAAGAAGAUAUCUUCAUAGGGGAAGGCGUUGACUACUCCGUUCCUGCUGGAGAUAUGGGUCAAAGCCCUGUAUCGGAGGACAUGGAAGAAUCUCCUCGAAACAAAGAGAGAACCUCAUAUUUCAGUGAACCUGCCUAUGGCCCAGUAC
rnacentral:misc_RNA from 1 species